AGGGAGAAUGAGCCAUGCUGGAGAAGCAGGGCACAUGCCAGAUAUAUCAGCAUUGUCUGAGAAUUUUGCAUGUGCUCUACCUCUCCAGCUUGGACUCUCUCCCU